rnacentral:lncRNA from 1 species
CAUUUUGUGAUUAGAAACUAAACAAAAUGAUAGAAUUGUUAAAUACUUCAGGAAAAGAUAGCUUUCAGACACUGCUUUGAGAAUAUCAAAAGAACAGAUAGGGUCACCGUACGUUUUUUCCGGCUAAAAUACAAAAUAGGAAAAUUCCAUACAGAAUCCUUCAGAAAAUGCACUUUUUUAAGGGUUACCUCCCCUUAAAAUGCCAAUUUAAAAAAAAAAUAAAAACAACC